rnacentral:rRNA from 1 species
GACGAACGCUGGCGGCGUGCUUAACACAUGCAAGUCGAGCGAUGAAACACCUUCGGGUGCGGAUUAGCGGCGAACGGGUGAGGAACACGUGAGGAAUCUGCCUUCCACUCUGGGAUAACUCCGGGAAACCGGGGCUAAUACCGGAUACUUUCAACUGGCGGCAUCGCCGGUUGAAGAAAGUUUUUCAGUGGAAGAUGACCUCGCGGCCUAUCAGCUUGUUGGUGAGGUAAAGGCUCACCAAGGCGACGACGGGUAGCCGGCCUGAGAGGGCGAACGGCCACACUGGGACUGAGACACGGCCCAGACUCCUACGGGAGGCAGCAGUGGGGAAUAUUGGGCAAUGGAGGAAACUCUGACCCAGCGACGCCGCGUGAGGGAUGAAGGCCUUCGGGUUGUAAACCUCUUUCAGCAGGGAAUAAGCGAAAGUGAAGGUACCUGCAGAAGAAACACCGGCUAACUAUGUGCCAGCAGCCGCCGUAA